rnacentral:rRNA from 1 species
AAUGAACGCUGGCGGCAGGCCUAACACAUGCAAGUCGAACGGAUCCUUCGGGAUUAGUGGCGGACGGGUGAGUAACGCGUGGGAACAUACCCUUUGGUACGGAAUAGCCUCGGGAAACUGGGAGUAAUACCGUAUGUGGUCGAGAGACGAAAGAUUUAUCGCCAAAGGAUUGGCCCGCGUUGGAUUAGGUAGUUGGUGGGGUAAUGGCCUACCAAGCCGACGAUCCAUAGCUGGUUUGAGAGGAUGAUCAGCCACACUGGGACUGAGACACGGCCCAGACUCCUACGGGAGGCAGCAGUGGGGAAUCUUAGACAAUGGGGGAAACCCUGAUCUAGCCAUGCCGCGUGAUCGAUGAAGGCCUUAGGGUUGUAAAGAUCUUUCAGGUGGGAAGAUAAUGACUGUACCACCAGAAGAAGUCCCGGCUAACUCCGUGCCAGCCGCCGCGGUAAUAC